CUCCAAGUGCAGGGUUCGAGACCCCAGGUCUAAUCCAAAAGGUUACUUCAGCAAACAGUUCUAAUUUAAACACUGACAGCAAGACCACUGAAAGUGCUGACAGAAGACAGAUUAAAUGAACAUGGCUAACCUCUAGAGACAAAUAACAGCCAGGCUGAAUGUGCCCCCUGUCUGAGAGGGGAAAAAUAAUAAUACCAUCCUCAUAACACAAAGGAAAUGAUGAGGCCCUCCACUGGGACCCAUACAGAUCUCCCUGCAAGAUUACAGAAGGAACUUUACAUACAAUAGGACUGUACAGGAUACCUCAGAUGUAUGCAUCACAACAUGAAUAUGGUCUAUGAGCAAACAGUGUCUACUGUAAAAAUGAAAUACCAGAAGAACCAAGAAUAAGGAUACACUAUGCUCGCGUUACCAAUACCAUCGUCAUUCGCUCAAGCAAUUUGAA